GGGUUGUGAGGUUAAGCGACUAAGCGUACACGGUGGAUGCCCUGGCAGUCAGAGGCGAUGAAGGACGUGCUAAUCUGCGAUAAGCGUCGGUAAGGUGAUAUGAACCGUUAUAACCGGCGAUUUCCGAAUGGGGAAACCCAGUGUGAUUCGUCACACUAUCAUUAACUGAAUCCAUAGGUUAAUGAGGCGAACCGGGGGAACUGAAACAUCUAAGUACCCCGAGGAAAAGAAAUCAACCGAGAUUCCCCCAGUAGCGGCGAGCGAACGGGGAGCAGCCCAGAGCCUGAAUCAGUGUGUGUGUUAGUGGAAGCGUCUGGAAAGGCGUGCGAUACAGGGUGACAGCCCCGUACACAAAAAUGCACAUAUUGUGAGCUCGAUGAGUAGGGCGGGACACGUGGUAUCCUGUCUGAAUAUGGGGGGACCAUCCUCCAAGGCUAAAUACUCCUGACUGACCGAUAGUGAACCAGUACCGUGAGGGAAAGGCGAAAAGAACCCCGGCGAGGGGAGUGAAAAAGAACCUGAAACCGUGUACGUACAAGCAGUGGGAGCACGCUUAGGCGUGUGACUGCGUACCUUUUGUAUAAUGGGUCAGCGACUUAUAUUCUGUAGCAAGGUUAAC
rnacentral:rRNA from 1 species